rnacentral:rRNA from 1 species
UACCAGCACCCCGAGCGGUCGGGACGAUUAUUGGGCCUAAAGCAUCCGUAGCCGGUCCUACAAGUCUUCCGUUAAAUCCACCUGCUCAACAGAUGGGCUGCGGAAGAUACUAUAGGGCUAGGAGGCGGGAGAGGCAAGCGGUACUCAGUGGGUAGGGGUAAAAUCCUCUGAUCCAUUGAAGACCACCAGUGGCGAAGGCGGCUUGCCAGAACGCGCUCGACGGUGAGGGAUGAAAGCUGGGGGAGCAAACCGG